CUGCCGGCGGGCACCGCUAUUGGAAUACGAUUAAGGCAUGCGAGUCGAGAGGGGUAAAGCCCUCGGCGCACGGCUGAGUAACACGCGGAUAAUCUGCCCUAAGGUGGAGGAUAAUCUCGGGAAACUGAGGAUAAUACUCCAUAGGCCUUGGAUGCUGGAAUGCUUCAAGGCUUAAAGCUCCGGCGCCUUAGGAUGAGUCUGCGGCCAAUCAGGUAGUAGUGGGUGUAACGGACCCACUAGCCUACGACGGGUAGGGGCGUUGAGAGACGGAGCCUCCAGAUGGAUUCUGAGACACGAAUCCAGGUCCUACGGGGCGCAGCAGCUGCGAAACCUUCGCAAUGUGGGAAACCACGACGAGGGGAUUCCAAGUGCUAAUACAAUGUAUUAGCUGUUCUCCUGUCUAAAAAACAGGUGAAGUAAGGGCUGGGUAAGACGGGUGCCAGCCGCCGCGGUAAUACCCGCAGCCCGAGUGGUGCUCGAUUUUAUUGAGCUUAAAGCGUACGUAGCCGGUCAUGUAAAUCCUUGGGUAAAUCGGGCAGCUUAACUGUUCGACUUCCGAGGAGACUGCAUGACUUGGGACAGGGAGAGGUCAGAGGUACCUCCGGGGUAGGGCUAAAAUCCUGUAAUCCUGGAGGGACCACCAGUGGCAAGGGCGUCUGACUAGAACUGAUCCGACGGUGAGGAACGAAGCCCUGGGGCGCAAACGGGAUUAGAUACCCCGGUAGUCCAGGGUGUAAACGCUGCGGACUUGGUGUCGGGGGUCCUACGGGGGCGCCCGGUGCCGGAGAGAAAUUGUUAAGUCUGCCGCUUGGGGAGUACGGUCGCAAGACUGAAACUUAAAGGAAUUGGCGGGGGAGCACCGCAACGGGGAGGAGCGUGCGGUUCAAUUGGAUUCAACGCCGGG
rnacentral:rRNA from 1 species